GGAAUAAGCCGUUAGGUGAGGCUCCUAUACGGAAAACGCUACUGCUCAGAAACGUCGAAAAACGCCAAUGAGUCAGCUGUCCGAGUUAAAAAAAGGCUCGGUCUAAUGUAGCUGUUAUCUAAUAACUACGCCGUAUAGUGCUAAAGCUCAACGAUUGGCUAAACGA
rfam:Lactobacillus odoratitofui DSM 19909 = JCM 15043 strain DSM 19909 NODE_117, whole genome shotgun sequence.